UACGAAGGGGGCUAGCGUUGUUCGGAAUCACUGGGCGUAAAGCGUAUGUAGGCGGAUUGUUAAGUCAGGGGUGAAAUCCCGAGGCUCAACCUCGGAACUGCCUUUGAUACUGGCUGUCUUGAGUCCGGGAGAGGUGAGUGGAACUCCUAGUGUAGAGGUGAAAUUCGUAGAUAUUAGGAAGAACACCAGUGGCGAAGGCGGCUCACUGGCCCGGAACUGACGCUGAAAUACGAAAGCGUGGGGAGCAAACAGG
rnacentral:rRNA from 1 species